CUUGGUCUCUGAGUCCCAUGGGGAUGAGAAUCUUUGGUUCUGCGGUCACUUCAGGAUGGGAGUGGAGAUCAGCUCAGAGACUGGGAGUACGUGGGCCAGUGGGUCACUGACCUUGCCUUGGCUGCUGUCAAGACCACUGAGGAUGGCACAGUUCAGAAACCAACAUGCUGGAAGCCAGCGAGCAUUGACCAGGAUUCCUCUCCGACAAGACCAAGGCCCCCGGUGACUUAGGUCACUUUCCAAGAGAAGUGUGAGGAAGAGAGUCAAGAAGUGAUUAUUGUCCCCAGGAACGACUGGGUUGGGUCCAUGAAUUAUACAAUAUUUGGCGACCAGAUGUCAUUGAGGGUUUUUUUAAAGAAGUUUUCAUAGAAGAGAUGGAAGAUUGGCAAAAACCAUAGAAAAUGGCGACUGAAAAGUUGUGUGCUGAUCGAUGGAAAAAAGGAAAGGGCAACAAGUGGAGGAGAGUCAAGACUGCAAUGAGAAUAAAAGAAACGGGGAAAUAGAAACACACGACAACAAUGCCUAAGAGAGCGACAGAGGAAACAUUGAGAAGAAAACAGAUAAGGGAGAAAUACUGCACAGAGAAUGCUACACCAGAAAUUAGCAAGAUCCGUGGAGGCAGGAAGAAAAUAAAGAAGAAAGAUAGAGGUUAUAUGGUCCCAUGUAACAGGAGCCCCCGAUUUCUAUGCUUCCUGGGAUUGUGUUAGAGGUAGGGAGCUAUUCCAUGGCUCCAUAAUUCCCCUCGAGAAACAAGGCAUUUCAAAGUUUCCCAAACCUAGUGUGUACUGGACUGUGAGAGCUAGUUGUUAAAUUUUCAGGAAUUCCGUGAGCUAGCUGUUAAACUGGUUAUUUUAAAAAAAAUAAUAACACUAUAUAAGCUUAAAAUUAAAUAAAUUAUAUUAAAAACACAUAAUAGAUACUAAAAACUCAUCAGGUUCUAAUUAUUUUGGAAUAUUUUACUAUCGAUGUAUCUGCAUCUAUCGUGUGGAAAUAUUAUGCAACGGUGUGUUACUACAUAUCCUUUCGUAACACUGCCUUCAAGUGACUUCAUAUUGGAGGAUUGAAAUCAGCCACAGUGGGAGUAUCUACACCAUAGAGAUCAGCAAUUACUACAAAUUGAGGCUUAACAUAUUGUUUUAUUGAUUGUCUAGAUGUAACAACAUGGUGGAGAAAAUAAUACUGUAGAUUAAACUUAAAAGUGUAUUGUGUCCGUAGCUGUUACAUUGUGUGUAACCCAAGAAAUUGAGGAAAUAGUCUUCCAAUAUUCAAAAACUAUUAUCCAAUUCAUCAAAAAAACGGCUUACAUCAUUGACGAAUGAGUGAUGUUCCAGCAUGUCUUUGUUAUUUCAUUUUUGUCUUAGUCAUGAAAAUAUCAACCAACAUUCAUCUCAGAACUAUACUUGUUCAUCAAUUGCAACUGUUACUGGCUGCGGAUAUAAGAGUUUGCACAAGUCAGUUGAAAUCAUUCUAUAAAAAUCAAUAACCUAUGUGGAAUUUAAAAUAAAAAGUGUCAUAUAUUUAUUAUUUGUAAAUUCCGUGACUCACAUCCUUUGUAUCAGUAAAGUUUAAUAAACUUACAUAAAAUAUUCACAUACAGAAUCUUUUGUACUUGUUGGAGAGCCAGUUGUUAAUCAUUUAUCAGCACACCCCUGGGUGGUUUGGUCACUAACCACUGCCUCACGUGGCAAUGAU
ensembl:lncRNA